rnacentral:tRNA from 1 species
GCACGCUUAGAUCAGUUGGUCAGAUUGCCGUCAGCGGAGGUCGUUGGUUCAAAUCCAACACGUGCU